CCGUCCUCCUCUGUGCCAGAUUUAGAGUUGGGGUGGAUGUCCGAGUACGCGGUCAGCAAGCCGUUUGCCUCUAUCCAUCCAUUACGCGAGUUGUCAAUAUCUGGAGAGCUUAUGAAGCAAUGGAGUUUUCAAUAUCUUGAGAGCUUAAGCUGUUUGGAUUAUUUCCUCUGUAGCAGUCUCUCUACAUGCUAAGCGAUUGUACAGGGAGCUCCCUGCUUAAUGACAGAUAGCUUGCAGGGUGCUGCUUUGAGCAUCCAACAUUCAUGGCUAAAACUGUAAGAAACCUAAUGGGCGGCUCAGGUAUAUGUGGG